CCUACGGGAGGCAGCAGUCGAGAAUCAUUCACAAUGGGGGAAACCCUGAUGGUGCGACGCCGCGUGGGGGAAUGAAGGUCUUCGGAUUGUAAACCCCUGUCAUGUGGGAGCAAAUUAAAAAGAUAGUACCACAAGAGGAAGAGACGGCUAACUCUGUGCCAGCAGCCGCGGUAAUACAGAGGUCUCAAGCGUUGUUCGGAAUCACUGGGCGUAAAGCGUGCGUAGGCUGUUUCGUAAGUCGUGUGUGAAAGGCGCGGGCUCAACCCGCGGACGGCACAUGAUACUGGUAGAUUAGAGGAAUGGAGAGGGAACCGGAAUUCUCGGUGUAGCAGUAAAAUGCGUAGAUAUCGAGAGGAACACUCGUGGCGAAGGCGAGUUCCUGGACAUUAACUGACGCUGAGGCACGAAGGCCAGGGGAGCGAAAGGGAUUAGAUACCCCAGUAGUC
rnacentral:rRNA from 1 species